UACGUAGGGUGCGAGCGUUAAUCGGAAUUACUGGGCGUAAAGCGUGCGCAGGCGGUCUGUUAAGACCGAUGUGAAAUCCCCGGGCUUAACCUGGGAACUGCAUUGGUGACUGGCGGGCUGGAGUGUGGCAGAGGGGGGUGGAAUUCCACGUGUAGCAGUGAAAUGCGUAGAGAUGUGGAGGAACACCGAUGGCGAAGGCAGCCCCCUGGGCCAACACUGACGCUCAGGCACGAAAGCGUGGGGAGCAAACAGG
rnacentral:rRNA from 1 species